CAAGUCGAGCGGCAGCGCGGGAGCAAUCCUGGCGGCGAGCGGCGAACGGGUGAGUAAUGCUUCGGAAUCUGCCCAGUAGUGGGGAACAACCAGUCGAAAGACCGGCUAAUACCGCAUACGACCUAAGGGUGAAAGCAGGGGAUCGUAAGACCUUGCGCUAUUGGAUGAGCCGAAGUCGGAUUAGCUAGUUGGUGAGGUAACGGCUCACCAAGGCGACGAUCCGUAGCUGGUCUGAGAGGACGACCAGCCACACUGGGACUGAGACACGGCCCAGACUCCCACGGGAGGCAGCAGUGGGGAAUAUUGGACAAUGGGGGAAACCCUGAUCCAGCGACGCCGCGUGUGUGAAGAAGGCCUGCGGGUUGUAAAGCACUUUUAGUGGGGAGGAAAACCCCCGACCUAAUACGUCGGGAAUUGACUUAACCCAAAGAAAAAGCACCGGCUAACUCUGUGCCAGCAGCCGCGGUAAUACAGAGGGUGCGAGCGUUAAUCGGAAUUACUGGGCGUAAAGCGUGCGUAGACGGUUGUCUAAGUCGGAUGUGAAAUCCCCGGGCUCAACCUGGGAAUGGCAUUCGAGACUGAAUAGCUAGGGUGCGGAAGAGGGAAGCGGAAUUUCCGGUGUAGCGGUGAAAUGCGUAGAUAUCGGAAGGAACAUCAGUGGCGAAGGCGGCUUCCUGGUCCAGCACCGACGUUCAGGCACGAAAGCGUGGGGAGCAAACAGGAUUAGAUACCCUGGUAGUCCACGCCUUAAACGAUGAGGACUAGACGUUGGAAGGGUUAGCCUUUCAGUGUCGCAGCUAACGCGAUAAGUCCUCCGCCUGGGGAGUACGGCCGCAAGGUUGAAACUCAAAGGAAUUGACGG
rnacentral:rRNA from 1 species